CAUGUUCAUCCAUCAUGGCAUCUCUACGAGGAAAGCACCAGGGGCCUUGCUACAGGACAGAAAGAACAGGGAGGCAUGCCAGACCAGAGACCAAGCUGUUCACUGGCACCUUCUGUGAUGAGCUGCUGACCGCAGGCCCCAAAGCAAUGAGGCCAACUGAGCAUGGGGUGAAGCCUUCAAAACAGUGAGACACAGCGAACCUUUUCUCUUUUUAAGUCGAUUACCCCAGGUAUUUGUUAUAGUCACAGAAAGCUGACUAACACACGGUGUGAGUUGAAGCAAACUAAUUAACCUCUGUGCCUCCUGUUCCUCAUCUGUAAAAUUGUUAAAUGAGAAUUAAAUGAAUGAAUACA